rnacentral:lncRNA from 1 species
AGGAAGCAGGACUACACGCCGAGGCCUGAAGAAGAGGAAACAAUGUUCCCGGAGCCUGGUGAAAGCUGCCACCACGAGAGGAUCUGUGUGGCAGGAGCUGUGGCCUCGGACAGUGAACACAGGUUAGGCUGAAGCCUCUGCAUGUCCCGAUGCCUGAUGGAGAUGGAGGAAUCCUUUCUACCCAGACAGAAGUCACACUAUGUAGCCUGUCCUCUUUAGAACUGAAUCCGAUUGGGAUUUCUUCAUGGUCUCCACCCUGGAAAACCAGCUUGAAUUCUUGUAUGCGGGCCAGAUUCCAAGAGACAUCAUAAUUAGAUCCCAGAAGACUACAUGGCAGCUGAAGAGGAUGUCCCCUGUGGAAUAUAUGGAGGAAAGGCUGGCCAAAGCAAUGUUCACAUUCAUGCAAUUAUCCAGUUAAUUGCACAAGGUAAAUGGAGUCAUAUAAUUAUGGCUAAGUUCAUACUAGGAUUAGGCUAGCCCUGAACAAAAUAGUGUAUUUUGAGAAAGAACAUAAUACUGAAGCAAACUCUCCAUCAACAUACCAUGCUUCAUUUCCUUUUGCAACACUCCAGUCAAAUUUCAUUAAAACAAAGGUUUUAGCAGAUCUCAAGGCAUAAUGGGAAAAGUGACCAAGCUUAGGACAUGACACAUUUUGACCAACUCUAUUUAUCUCCUAUUGGCCCUAAUGUGAAAGACUAUUUGUGGACAUUCAAUUAUAAUCACUUGUACUUUCAAAGAACCAACGAACCUAAGGUUUUAAAUAAAGGAACUCAGUUGGGAAUUCUUGCAGCAAAAUUAUGAAGUAUAGGAAACAUUCAGAGGCAGGAGUGAGAGAGAGGAAGGCAAGAACUCACCUUUAUUGUAUUUUGUCUAAAUUGAGCUUUGUGCCAGGUGUUUUUGUUGUGGUGAUACUGGUUUGUUUUUUUGUUUUUAUUCAUGUUAUUUUAUUUUUCAGCUGAACUAAUAAAAACUUAGUUACUGAGUGCCUAUUA